rnacentral:rRNA from 1 species
UACAGAGGGUGCGAACGUUGCUCGGAAUUACUGGGCGUAAAGCGCAUGUAGGCGGAUCCAUAAGUCGGGCGUGAAAUCCCCAGGCUCAACCUGGGAACUGCGCUCGAAACUGUGGGUCUUGAGUGUCGGAGAGGAUGGCGGAAUUCCUGGUGUAGAGGUGAAAUUCGUAGAUAUCAGGAGGAACACUGGUGGCGAAGGCGGCCAUCUGGACGACAACUGACGCUGAGAUGCGAAAGCGUGGGGAGCAAACAGG